UACGUAGGGGGCAAGCGUUGUCCGGAAUCAUUGGGCGUAAAGAGCGUGUAGGCGGCCAGAUAGGUCCGUUGUGAAAACUCGAGGCUCAACCUCGAGACGCCGAUGGAAACCAUCUGGCUAGAGUCCGGAAGAGGAGAGUGGAAUUCCUGGUGUAGCGGUGAAAUGCGCAGAUAUCAGGAAGAACACCCGUGGCUAAGGCGGCUCUCUAGUACGGUACUGACGCUGAGACGCGAAAGCGUGGGGAGCGAACAGG
rnacentral:rRNA from 1 species